rnacentral:rRNA from 1 species
UGGGGAAUCUUCCGCAAUGGACGCAAGUCUGACGGAGCAACGCCGCGUGAGUGAAGACGGCCUUCGGGUUGUAAAGCUCUGUUAUUCGGGAAGAACGAUUCGUUUGUGAACAAUGAACGGAAGUGACGGUACCGAAAGAGAAAGCCACGGCUAACUACGUGCCAGCAGCCGCGGUAAUACGUAGGUGGCAAGCGUUGUCCGGAAUUAUUGGGCGUAAAGAGCGCGUAGGCGGUAUGGUAAGUCUGUCUUAGAAGUGCGGGGCUUAACCCCGUGAGGGGACAGAGACUGUCAUACUGGAGUCUCGGAGAGGAAAGCGGAAUUCCUAGUGUAGGGGUGAAAUGCGUAGAGAUUAGGAAGAACACCGGUGGCGAAGGCGGCUUUCUGGACGAGCACUGACGCUGAGGCGCUAAAGCGUGGGGAGCGAACAGG